rnacentral:rRNA from 1 species
CCCUUAGAUGUUCUGGGCUGCACGCGCGCUACACUGAUGCGCUCAACGAGUUUACGACCUUGCCCGGAAGGGUUGGGUAAUCUUUUUAAAACGCAUCGUGAUGGGGAUAGAUUAUUGCAAUUAUUAAUCUUUAACGAGGAAUUCCUAGUAAGCGCGAGUCAUCAGCUUGCGUCGAUUACGUCCCUGCCCUUUGUACACACCGCCCGUCGCUCCUACCGAUUGGGUGUGCUGGUGAAAUGUUCGGAUCGGCCGUUUGUCGCGGUUUCCGCGUCAUGUGGCUGAGAAGUUCAUUAAACCCUCCCACCUAGAGGAAGGAGAAGUCGUAACA